CUCAAGAUUUUCCCUCUCUCGGAAACACAGGUGAUUCAAAGUCCCAUGGGAGAUGGAGGACCAUACUCAUAUCUUAUCACUAUUGAAUCAGGGUAGGGGCGGCGAAACUUCUUAUCGAGAAGGAAAACUUUAAACAGAGAAAGAAUCUUAACAAUAAUGAGGCCUUGGGGCACAAUAUAUUCCAGAGAGAUAAUAGAUUGCAAGUUGCCAAGAAAUUCUGCUAGUAGGCAUUGGGGCACUACUGAUAUUCUCAUCGUCACGAUGCUUCACAGCGACCUUCUUUGCCUAGGUAUUGAAAUGGUAAAAAAGGAACACUUUCCCCACAUUUAAGUCAUAAGUUUAGGUAAAUUCUUUAGCUGUGAAAACGAUAAUCUUGAGUUCAUAAGGUCGAUUAUUUUGUUGUUGAGCAAGAUGGUUAUUUUUACUUUCUCACUAUGAAUAGUUGCAUCAGUAAACGCUUGAGGGUUUUAUUCUGAUAUCUCCAGGUCUUGAGUGAUCAUUGCUGAGAAUUUACCCGGAGUAGCUUACAAGGAAUCUGUAUGAAAAGGAAGGUAAAAGAGUAAGCAUUUUAAUUUGUUACAAAAUUACUGUUGAUAUUUGGAACCCUUAUCCCCAAAUCUAGCAAGAAACAAAAACUAAGUAUUCUGAUUCCUCUCCUAGUGGUUGCUCUCCUUUUGCAACUUGGAAAAGAACCCGAACCUGAAGUAAUCACUCUAUAAUGGAAGUUUCUGUAGCUCAAAAUGUUUUCGAAGGAUUUUCGAGGAUAGUGGUGAGAUAUUAUUAUCAACAAAAGAAUGAUCCCUUUACAAAAUUGGAUUCGGACAAACUUUACGCAAAAGAAGGAAAUGGCAUAUUAUCACCAGGAAUCCAUAAGAGCUAGUCCCAUUUGAGGGAAAAAAGUAUCCACAGACACAAGCCUGGUCCAAAAUCAGCCAUAGUAGCAGCCUAUAACAGUAGAGUUCUUUUUAUUUUCUUGUUUCUCGGAAUCUUUGAAUAAAGAACUUAGGAAAUGGAGAAUCUCCAUGCUCAGGGGUUUUUAUUGGUUGAUGAGAGAAUAUAUAAGGAAAAAGAUCUUAAUCAUUUUCUUUUAAGAAUUGAUCUUAAUCUUCUUCUCAUCUGACAUUGUUACCAUAGAACUGUUGUUUUUGUUCUUUUUUUUAAGAGUGAUUUUAUCAGUAAACUGCCACUGCUUUUGUUGAUUUUUGUCUAACAUUUG